rnacentral:rRNA from 1 species
AUUGAACGCUGGCGGCAGGCCUAACACAUGCAAGUCGAGCGGAUGAAGGGAGCUUGCUCCUGGAUUCAGCGGCGGACGGGUGAGUAAUGCCUAGGAAUCUGCCUGGUAGUGGGGGAUAACGUCCGGAAACGGGCGCUAAUACCGCAUACGUCCUGAGGGAGAAAGUGGGGGAUCUUCGGACCUCACGCUAUCAGAUGAGCCUAGGUCGGAUUAGCUAGUUGGUGGGGUAAAGGCCUACCAAGGCGACGAUCCGUAACUGGUCUGAGAGGAUGAUCAGUCACAUGGGAACUGAGACACGGCCCAGCCUCCUGGGGGAGGCAGAAGGGGGGAAUUUUGAACAAGGGGCGAAAGCUGGACCCAGCCGUGCGGGGGGGGUAAAGAAGGUCUUGGGAUUGAAAAGCACUUUAAGUUGGGAGAAAGGGAAUUAAGUUAAUCCCUUGUUGUUUUGAGGUUACCAAAAAAAAAAGCCCCGGCUAACUUCGUG